rnacentral:rRNA from 1 species
UUUGCCUACGGGGGGCAGCAGUGGGGAAUAUUGGGCAAUGGGCGCAAGCCUGACCCAGCAACGCCGCGUGAAGGAAGAAGGCUUUCGGGUUGUAAACUUCUUUUAAGAGGGAAGAGCAGAAGACGGUACCUCUUGAAUAAGCCACGGCUAACUACGUGCCAGCAGCCGCGGUAAUACGUAGGUGGCAAGCGUUGUCCGGAUUUACUGGGUGUAAAGGGCGUGUAGCCGGGCUGACAAGUCAGAUGUGGAAUCCCGUGGCUCAACCACGGAACUGCAUUUGAAACUGUCGGUCUUGAGUAUCGGAG